rnacentral:rRNA from 1 species
UACGUAGGGGGCAAGCGUUGUCCGGAUUUAUUGGGCGUAAAGAGCGUGUAGGCGGCCAUACAGGUCCGUUGUGAAAACUCGAGGCUCAACCUCGAGACGUCGAUGGAAACCGUAUGGCUAGAGUCCGGAAGAGGAGAGUGGAAUUCCUGGUGUAGCGGUGAAAUGCGCAGAUAUCAGGAAGAACACCUAUGGCGAAGGCAGCUCGCUGGGACGGUACUGACGCUGAGACGCGAAAGCGUGGGGAGCGAACAGG